rnacentral:rRNA from 1 species
CACGUAAGGGGCGAGCGUUGUUCGGAUUUAUUGGGCGUAAAGGGCGUGUAGGCGGUGAAAUAAGUCUGGUGUGAAAUAUCCCGGCUCAACCGGGAGCCCGCGCUGGAAACUGUUUUACUAGAGUGAUGGAGGGGGAACUGGAAUUCCUGGUGUAGGGGUGAAAUCUGUAGAGAUCAGGAAGAACACCGGAGGCGAAGGCGAGUUCCUGGCCAUUAACUGACGCUGAGGCGCGAAAGCGUGGGGAGCGAACAGG